rnacentral:rRNA from 1 species
GCACAAGCGGUGAUGAUUGUGGUUUAAUUCGAUGCAACGCGAAAACCUUACCCACCUUUGACAUGGCAGGAAUCCCGAAGAGAUUUGGGAGUGCUCGAAAGAGAACCUGCACACAGGUGCUGCAUGGCUGUCGUCAGCUCGUGUCGUGAGAUGCUGGGUUAAGUCCCGCAACGAGCGCAACCCUUGUCACUAGUUGCCAUCAUUUGGUUGGGCACUCUAGUGAGACUGCCGGUGACAAACCGGAGGAAGGUGGGGAUGACGUCAAGUCCUCAUGGCCCUUAUGGGUAGGGCUUCACACGUCAUACAAUGGUCGGUACAGAGGGUUGCCAAGCCGCGAGGUGGAGCCAAUCCCUUAAAGCCGAUCGUAGUCCGGAUCGUAGUCUGCAACUCGACUACGUGAAGUCGGAAUCGCUAGUAAUCGCAGAUCAGCAUGCUGCGGUGAAUACGUUCCCGGGUCUU